AUGCUCCAAAUGGUUGACUUAUUUCCUCAUUUGUUUUUUCACUCGACUUCCAUGCUCCAAAUGGUUGGCUUAUUUCCUCAUUUGUUUUUUCACUCGACUUCCAAGCUCCAAAUGGUUGGCUUAUUUCCUCAUUUGUUUUUUCACUCGACUUCCAUGCUCCAAAAGGUUGGCUUAUAUCUUCACUUCUUUUUUCACCCCUAGUGUGAGCUUCAUAAGGUUGACUUUCUUUUUUACUCCAUGUGGGAGCUCCUAAAUGUUUAGGUUUUGCAUCAUAAUUCUUGCGGAUACCCAAACUAAUUUUGUUUCCAGGAUAU
rnacentral:lncRNA from 1 species